UACGAAGGGGGCUAGCGUUGCUCGGAAUUACUGGGCGUAAGGGCGCGUAGGCGGCACUGUUAGUCAGGCGUGAAAUUCCUGGGCUCAACCUGGGGACUGCGCUUGAUACGGCAGAGCUUGAGGAUGGAAGAGGGUCGCGGAAUUCCCAGUGUAGAGGUGAAAUUCGUAGAUAUUGGGAAGAACACCGGUGGCGAAGGCGGCGACCUGGUCCAUUACUGACGCUGAGGCGCGACAGCGUGGGGAGCAAACAGG
rnacentral:rRNA from 1 species